rnacentral:misc_RNA from 1 species
GAUGAAGAACGCAGCGAAAUGCGAUACGUAAUGUGAAUUGCAGAAUUCAGUGAAUCAUCGAAUCUUUGAACGCAUAUUGCGCUCUUUGGUAUUCCGAAGAGCAUGCUUGUUUGAGUAUCAGUAAACACCUCAAAACUUUUUUUUAUUUUUUAAAAACCAGUUUUGGACUUGAGCAAUCCCAACACCAAUCUUUUUUAGAUCGGUGGCGGGUUGCUUGAAAUGCAGGUGCAGCUGGACAUUCUCCUAAGCUAAAAGCAUAUUUAUUUAGUCCCGUCAAACGGAUUAUUACUUUUGCUGCAGCUAAUAUAAAGGGAGUUUGACCGUUUUGGCUGACUGAUGCAGGAUUUCACAAGGGUCGGCAACGAUUCUUGUAAAACUCGAUCUCAAAUCAAGUAAGACUACCCGCUGAACUUAAGCAUAUCAAUAAGCGGAGGA